CCUACGGGGGGCUGCAGUGGGGGAUAUUGCACAAUGGGGGAAACCCUGAUGCAGCGACGCCGCGUGGGUGAAGAAGUAUUUCGGUAUGUAAAGCCCUAUCAGCAGGGAAGAAAGAAGACGGUACCUGACUAAGAAGCCCCGGCUAACUACGUGCCAGCAGCCGCGGUAAUACGUAGGGGGCGAGCGUUAUCCGGAUUCACUGGGUGUAAAGGGAGCGUAGACGGCCGUGCAAGCCAGGAGUGAAAGCCCGGGGCCCAACCCCGGGACUGCUCUUGGAACUGUGCGGCUGGAGUGCGGGAGGGGCAGGCGGAAUUCCUGGUGUAGCGGUGAAAUGCGUAGAUAUCAGGAGGAACACCGGCGGCGAAGGCGGCCUGCUGGACCGCGACUGACGUUGAGGCUCGAAAGCGUGGGGAGCGAACAGGAUUAGAUACCCUGGUAGUC
rnacentral:rRNA from 1 species